UAUUUCGAAUAAUGGGCAGUCGUGAGACCUCAAGAGUGGGUCCCUGAACUGAAGUUAGCGUGUAAGUCUUCAAAUGAACCCUGAAAGGGAAAAAUAGAGAUAUUACAGAUAGAAAUAGAGCUGUUUCCGAAGAUGCAAGCAAAGGAGUUGCCGUUAGGCGCCAUUGUCUCCUAAGUCUCCUAGGCUUUUGAUCUUAAUAUAGCUGUAGAAGCACCUCGGACUCUCUUUCACCGUGUCUGCCAGAGCAACCUCACAGCUUCUUUUAACCCUCCUGAUUAUGCUCAUAAGUAUUCUCUUGCACUUUUUAUACUCAAGUGCCUCUUUGGAUCCUAACUGCCUGUAACUUGAUAUGAAGUGGCGACCCACUUUCUGCGCAGGUGAACUGGCUCACAAAAUGGUGCGUGCGUCGGCAGAGAGGCCAGCCCCAAAAUGGCGCUGGGCCUUCUUCUUCACCAGCAAGGGGAGGAAGCUCGCGCGCGGGAAGAGACUUUUGUAAUGCACUUCUGACGUCAUUUCCACCCGGAGAGGUCGGGAACAGAACCGCGUAAAAGCCAGUGCUGCGAAGUUUGAAUAAACUAGUCUGGAGUGCAACCUACAGUGUGUCAUUAUUUCCUGCUCUGUGUGUAGCACAUCACUACAUUGGAGACCCCGACAGUCCAAACGGGAUUUGGACCAAAGAUGACCGACUCUUCAUCUGUUCACACAGUUUCGCUAAAACUGCCGACUUUCUGGACGCUGCGACCACGCGUGUGGUUUAGCCAAGCAGAAGCCCAGUUCCAGAUUCGGCAGAUAUCCUCUGAUUCCACGCGUUACUACCACGUGGUGAGCGCCCUUGACCAGGAGACGGCCGCCCAGGUUGCGGAUUUCAUACAGUCACCCCUGGCAGAUGGCAUAUAUGAAGCAGUCAAAGCGCUGCUCAUAGGGACCUUUGGCCUCUCACGGCGUGAGCGAGGUGCCCGCUUGCUGCAACUGAAUGGUUUGGGAGACAGGCCGCCGUCAGCAUUGAUGAAUGAGAUGCUGGCCCUGGCUGACGGACACAAGCCCUGCCUCAUGUUUGAGCAGGCGUUCCUAGAGCAACUGCCCGAGGACAUACAUCUGCUGCUGGCCAACGCAGAUUUCAACGACCCCCGGAAGGUGGCGGCCCGGGCAGACGUGCUGUGGAAAGCCAAGAGGGAGAGCGUGGUGUCCCAUCGGUCAGAUUACCAGGCCACGUGCCCAACAGCGGACCAGACCAGGCCCAGCAGGGGGGCGCACACAACACAGAGGCAGGAGUGAGGAGGUCAGUGAACAGUGGUGUUUCUACCACCAGCGGUGGGGCACAAAAGCCCGCCUUUGUCGCCCGCCCUGCAAGGGCCAGGGCCAGCUGCCGCUAUGACUAUGGCGGCUGGCCACCAGGACAGCCUCUUGUGCGUCUGGGACAAACAGUCAGGACGCCACUUCUUGGUCGACACCGGAGCAGAGAUCAGCUUCUUGCCCCCGAUGGGGUAUGACACCCACAACAGGAAGCCAGGACCCACCCUGAGGGCCAUAAACGGCAGCACGAUACGGACCUACGGCACCCGCAGAGUGCAACUGCAGUUCGGAGCUAGCCGGUUCACGUGGGGCUUCACACUGGCUGCCGUGGCCCAACCACUCCUGGGGGCGGACUUCUUGCGAGCUCACAGCCUGCUGGUCGACUUGCAAGGGAAAAGACUGGUACAUGCCGAGACUUUCCAGACGUUCUCCCUGGGUGAAGCCAAGUUGCCGGUCCCACACCUGGCCCCAUCACGCUGUCUGACAACGAACUCACCAGAAUCCUGGCGGAUUUUCCAUCAGUUCUGGCACCACAGUUCACAGCAGCCAUGCCCAGACACGGGGUACAGCACCACAUACCGACCCAGGGACCACCCCUCCAUGCCCACGCACGGUCUCCCCCCGGAAAAGCUCCGCCUGGCGAAGGAGGAGUUCAAGAGGAUGGAGGAAUUGUGGAUCAUAUGGAGGUCCAACAGCCCAUGGGCCUCCCCCCUGCACAUAGUGCCCAAAGCAGCUGGGGGUUGGAGACCAUGCGGCGACUACCGCAAACUGAACAAGGCUACAACUCCAGACCGCUACCGCGUGCCGCACAUACAGGACUUUGCAGCAAACCUGCACGGGGCAAGAAUAUUUUCCAAAGUAGACCUCAUCCGGGGAUACCAUCAAAUCCCGGUACACCCUGAAGACAUCCCCAAAACAGCACUCAUCACCCCGUUCAGCCUGUUCAAGUUCCUCCAAAUGCCAUUCGGCUUGAAGAAUGCUGUACAGACGUUCCAGCGGCUAAUGGAUGCGGUAGGACGUGACUUGGACUUUGUGUUCAUCUAUUUGGACGACAUCCUCAUAGCCAGAAGUAGUUGUCAGGAACAUCUGUCACACCUCUGCCAGCUCUACUCCCGCCUGAGUGAUUUCGGCCUCACGAUCAACCCGGCCAAAUGCCAGUUCAGUCUCGACACCAUCGACUUCAUGGGCCACAUUAUUACCAAAGACGUGGUUGCCCGCCAACGUAGACGCGAUCCGCCACUUUACCCGGCCCAACACAGUCAAAAGCCUGCAGGUGUUUGUUGGUAUGGUGAACUUCUACCACCGUUUCCUCCCCUCAGCAGCCUGUAUCAUGUGCCCUUUGUACACCCUGAUGUUGGGUAAAGGCAAGGAUAUUACUUGGGACGAGGAGGCUGCGGCCGCUUUCUUUAAAGCCAAGGAAACCUUGGAAGAUGUCGUGAUGCUGGUGCACCCCAGAACGGACGUUCCAACCGCACUCACGGUGGACGCAUCCAACACAGCAGUCGGUGGGGUGCUGGAGCAACUCAUCAAGGGGCGCUGGCAACCCCUGGCAUUCUUCAGCAAGCACCUACGACCACCCGAACUCAAGUACAGUGCCUUCGACCGGGAGCUGUUGGCACUGUAUUUGGCAAUCCGGCAUUUCAGGUUCUUCUUAGAAGGCAGGCCGUUCACUGCGUUCAUGGACCGCAAACCGUAGACCUUCACGUUCACGAAGGUGCUCGAUCCCUGGUCGGCCCGACAGCUGCGACAUCUGUCCUACCUACAUCUCCAAGUACACGACGGACAUCCAGCAUGUCUCGGGAAAGGACAACGUCAUGGUGGACACACUCUCCAGACCAGCUGUCCAGGAUCUGUCCCUGGGGGUGGACUAUGCAGCACUGGCGGAGGCACAGCAGGCAGAUGACGAGAUGCCCAGCUACAGGACCGCAGUCUCGGGUUUGCAGCUGCAGGACUUCCUCAUAGGCCCAGGUGAGAGGGCCCUCCUGUGCGACGUGGCUACUGGCCAACCUCGCCCCAUCAUCCCGGCAGCCUGGCGGCGGCGAAUUUUCAACUCCAUACACAGUUUGGCACACCCAUCUAUCAGGACAACUGUCUGGAUGGUUUCCAGCAAGUUCAUGUGGCACAGACUUUGCAAGCAGGUCAGUGAAUGGGCCAGAACGUGCACGCAGUGCCAAACAGCCAAGGUGCAGCGGCACACUAAAGCCCCGCCGCAGCAGUUCGAACCCACCCACCGGAGGUUCGACCACAUUCAUGUGGAUAUCGUGGGCCUCCUACCAGUGUCCCGAGGAGCGCGGUACCUCCUAACGGUGGUAGACCGGUUCACGAGGUGUCCAGAGGCGGUCCCGCUCACUGACACAUCUGCCGAUUCCUGCACCCGAGUACUGAUUGCAACCUGGGUAGCACGCUUUGGGGUACUGGCCCACAUUACCUCCAACAGAGGCGCCCAGUUCACCUCCAGCCUGUGGUCGGCUGUGACCAGCCUGUUGGGAACACAGCUACACCACACAACUGCCUACCACCCACAGUCGAACUGACUAGUGGAACGCUUCAACCGUCACUUGAAGUCGGCUCUCAUGGCCCGCCUGAGAGGACCUAACUGGGUGGAUGAGCUUCCCUGGGUCCUGCUUGGAAUUCGCACAGCGCCCAAAGAGGAUCUGCACACCUCAUCAGCCGAGUUGGUGUACGGCGCACCACUGGCCAUCCCAGGAGAGUUCAUACCAGCCCCAAGGGGGCAAGAGGAAGAACCCGCAGCAGUCCUGGACAGGCUAUGCGAAAGGCUCGGCAACCUGGCCCCUGUACAACUUCACAGCAUGGACAGAUUCCAACCUGCGUACCCAAAGACAUGUAGAACUGUAAGUUUGUACUUGUACGAAGGGGCGGACACUGGGCACCGUUACAGCGGCCGUACGAGGGGUCAUUCAAGGUGAUCAGAAACAAUGGGUCCACGUACGUUCUGAACAUUGAGGGGAAAGAGGAGGUUUUCAUGGUGGACCGACUCAAAUUGGCCCAUGUGGACUUUGCGCAGCCGGUCAAGGUUCAGGCACCGCGGCGCAGAGGCAGACCACCCAAACAGAGACUGAUCCAGACUGUGGACAUUGGGUGGUGUAUCGUCAAUUCUGGGGGAGGGGGUUAUGUGCCGACCCACUUUCUACGCAGGCAAACCGGCUCACAAAAUGGCGCAUGUGUCAGCAGAGAGGCCAUCUCCAAAAUGGCGCUGGGCCGCCGCCUUCACCAGCAAGGGGAGAAAGGCCACGCGUGCAAUUUUUUCUGCAUAUUUUGGAGA